rnacentral:rRNA from 1 species
GAGGGUGCAAGCGUUGUUCGGAAUUAUUGGGCGUAAAGCGCGUGUAGGCGGCUUGGCAAGUCAGAUGUGACAGCCCUCGGCUUAACCGAGGAAGUGCGUCUGAAACUGCUGAGCUUGAGUCUCGGAGAGGAUGGCGGAAUUCCGCAAGUAGAGGUGAAAUUCGUAGAUAUGCGGAGGAACACCGGUGGCGAAGGCGGCCAUCUGGACGAGUACUGACGCUGAGACGCGAAAGCGUGGGGAGCAAACAGGAUUAGAUACCCUGGUAGUCCACGCUGUAAACGAUGAGAACUAGGUGUCGUGGGUGUUGACCCCCGCGGUGCCGCAGCUAACGCAUUAAGUUCUCCGCCUGGGAAGUACGGCCGCAAGGCUA